rnacentral:rRNA from 1 species
UACGGAGGGUGCAAGCGUUAUCCGGAUUCACUGGGUUUAAAGGGUGCGUAGGCGGACAGGUAAGUCCGUGGUGAAAUCUCCGAGCUUAACUCGGAAACUGCCAUGGAUACUAUUUGUCUUGAAUACUGUGGAGGUGAGCGGAAUAUGUCAUGUAGCGGUGAAAUGCUUAGAUAUGACAUAGAACACCAAUUGCGAAGGCAGCUCACUGCGCAGUGAUUGACGCUGAGGCACGAAAGCGUGGGGAUCAAAC